CCUGGUUGAUCCUGCCAGUCACCAUACGCUUGGUUCACAGAUUAAGCCAUGCAUGUGUCAGUGCCCUGCUGCCUUUCCGUGGAGUACCGCGAACGGCUCCUUAAUACGGUCGCAGCCCAAAGGACUGUGUCCUGGCUUUCGAGCCCGGUUGGAUAACUUUGGCAAUUCUAGAGCUAAUACAUGUGCAAAAUGUCCGGGGGAGUAACGUCCCCCGGCAACCACUGUGCCUAAGGAACCACCGGUGCUUUCUAGCCCAAAAUGACCCGGUCGAAGCCACACAAUGGUAGAGCGCUUAGGCCUCGCGCCGGCGCCCGCACCUACGAAUGUCUGUCUUAUCAGGCUUGAUGCUAGUCCACACCUCUAGCAUGGCUUCGACGGGUAACGGGGAAUCAGGGUUCGAUUCCGGAGAGGGAGCCUGAGAAAUGGCUACCACCUCUAUGGAGGGCAGCAGGCGCGCAACUUACCCACUCUCGGCCCGAGGAGGUAGUUACGAGGCAUCCCGGAGUGGGUGGCUUGGCCAUUCGCAUCCGGGCUAAGUAUGGGCCAGUGAUCUGUGAGGCAAGAUUGGAGGGCAAGUCUGGUGCCAGCAGCCGCGGUAAUUCCAGCUCCAAUGGCGUAUGUGAAAGUUGCUGCGGUUAAAACGCUCGUAGUUGGGCGNCCUCUCGGGAACGCAUUUCCUGUACAACGGGACCUUUCGUGGGGAGACGAGUGUCUCGCGCGGUAUUGGAGGUCGACUUUCUGGCAACAGGGGUCCCUUCAGUACACCCGCGUUUCUACUCUUCCCUUCGUCUCGGUCCCGGGGAGGUGUGCCCCGAAGAAGACAACCGACCCGAACGGGUAGGCGAGCCUUCGGGCUUACCUAUCACCGCAAAGGUCGCACUCGCCUUGCACAAAUUUGAGUGAUCAAAGCAGGCGGGUGAAAACUACACGCUUGUAGAUCGUUCCAAAUGGCACGAAUGAAAAGGACAGUCGCACCGCUUGGGCUGGUUCCCGGCAUGCGGUUGUAAUGAUUAACAGGGGAUGACGGGGGCACACGUAUUGUCAGGCUAGGGGUGAAAUCCAAUGACCCCGACAAGACGACCUAAAGCGAAAGCAUGUGCCCAGGAUUCUUCCAUUAAUCAAGAACGAAAGUUAGAGGAUCGAAGGCGAUCAGAUACCGCCCUAGUUCUAACUGUAAACUAUGUCGACCGGCAAUGCGUCGAUGUCUCUGGACACGACGUGCGGCUCCCGGGAAACCAGAGUCUUCGGACUCCGGGGGGAGUACGGUCGCAAGUCUGAAACUUAAAGGAAUUGACGGAAGGGCACCACCAGGAGUGGAGCUUGCGGCUUAAUUUGACUCAACACGGGAAAUCUUACCAGGCCAAAACGCUCAACUGACCGACAGGCUAAUGACCUUUCCCAAUGCUGUAGACAGUGGUGCAUGUCCGUUCCUAGAUGGUGGAGUGAUCUGUCUGGUUGAUUCCGAUAACGAACGAGACUCCGACCUAUCANAUAGAUCAUAUCAGAAUGGAGGCUAAUACCCAUGCUGGCGCAUCGCGAGCGUGGAUGGAGCGGUUUCGGCGUUAAGCCGGACUGCCUCUAUAAGCGCGAACGUGCGUCUAGCAGGGUGCCUUCGAUCUUCUUGGAGGGAGAAGCGGAUCGAAACCGUGAGAAAUGGGGCAAUAACAGGUCUGUGAUGCCCUUAGAUNCCCUGGGCGGCACGCGUGCGACAGUGGUGAGGUCGACGUGCUACUCUACCCCGAAAGGGGCGGGCAAUCACCCAUUCUCACGACUAGGUUGGGAUUGGAGCCUGAAAUUAUUUUCCAUGAACCAGGAAUUCCCAGUAUGUGUUGGUCAUCAACCCGCUCCGAUUGAGUCCCUGCCCUUUGUACACACCGCCCGUCGCUACUACCGAUGGACGUCCUGGUCAGGAUCAUGGACUGGACCGAAUNCCGCGCGUGAAUGCUCGCCUGGCGGACGGAUCGGAAAGAGAGCCGAACUUGGGCGUUUAGAGGAAGUAAAAGUCGUAACAAGGUUUCCGUAGGUGAACCUGCGGAAGGAUCAUU
rfam:Spelaeogriphus lepidops small subunit ribosomal RNA gene, complete sequence.